CCUUUAUUCUAUCUGGCCGGAAUCACAAUGAUGAAGCUCCAUGCUUUGCAGGAGGAGUAAACUUUCCAGGGGCUUAUAAAGAAAAGAGUAUUGAUUGUACAAGGGUAUAUUGUAUUGAAGUUUUUGUAUUGAUUCCACUCUCAAAGGAAGAAAAUGAAUUGAUACCACUCAAAGAAUUUUGGGAUGCUUAGAAAACUAUCCAUUAAUUUAACGAUAUUUAUAAGUUUAUCAGUAGUUAAUCAACAUUCAACGAAUCCAUGUCAUGUGAGAGAAGAAUCUUUUGUACACUCUAAUGGGAGCAUUUUCGAUCGUACAUCCAGAUGCAAAAGGAGAGAGGUGGCGUAUUUGAGGGUGAAUACCAAGAGAACAAAAUGGUAUAGAUAAUAGUAAAUAUUGGAUAUAUCAUAUAUAUCAUUUAAUUUCAUAAUGUAGCUCUUUUUCUUAGUUAUUGUCGGGAUGUGAAAA